AUUAGCGGCGAACGGGUGAGUAACGCGUGAGGAACCUGCCUCUUACAACGGGAUAGCCUCGGGAAACCGGGAUUAAUACCGUAUAAGACUCCGACAUCUCCUGAUGAUGAAGUCAAAGCGUUAGCGGUAAGAGAUGGCCUCGCGUCUGAUUAGCUUGUUGGCGGGGUAACGGCCCACCAAGGCGACGAUCAGUAACCGGCCUGAGAGGGUGAACGGUCACAUUGGAACUGAGACACGGUCCAA
rnacentral:rRNA from 1 species